UACCUGGUUGAUCCUGCCAGUAGUCAUAUGCUUGUCUCAACGAUUAAGCCAUGCAUGUAUUAGUAUGAACAAAUUCAGACUGUGAAACUGUGAAUGGCUCAUUAAAUCAGUUAUAGUUUGUUUGAUGGUAUCUACUACUUGGAUAACCGUAGUAAUUCUAGACCUAAUACGUGCAACAAACCCCAACUUAUGGAAGGGAUGCAUUUAUUAGAUAAAAGGUCAACGCGGGCUCUGCCCGUGUCACGACCCGGGAGCACCCCCAAGUCGUAACA
rnacentral:ncRNA from 1 species